ACACCGCGUGAGUGAAGAAGGGUUUCGGCUCGUAAAACUCUGUUGUUGGAGAAGAACGUGCGUAAGAGUAACUGUUUACGCAGUGACGGUAUCCAACCAGAAAGUCACGGCUAACUACGUGCCAGCAGCCGCGGUAAUACGUAGGUGGCAAGCGUUAUCCGGAUUUAUUGGGCGUAAAGCGAGCGCAGGCGGUUGCUUAGGUCUGAUGUGAAAGCCUUCGGCUUAACCGAAGAAGUGCAUCGGAAACCGGGCGACUUGAGUGCAGAAGAGGACAGUGGAACUCCAUGUGUAGCGGUGGAAUGCGUAGAUAUAUGGAAGAACACCAGUGGCGAAGGCGGCUGUCUGGUCUGCAACUGACGCUGAGGCUCGAAAGCAUGGGUAGCGAACAGGAUUAGAUACCCUGGUAGUCCAUGCCGUAAACGAUGAGUGCUAGGUGUUGGAGGGUUUCCGCCCUUCAGUGCCGAAGCUAACGCAUUAAGCACUCCGCCUGGGGAGUACGAACCGCAAGGUUGAAACUCAAAGGAAUUGACGGGGGCCCGCACAAGCGGUGGAGACAUGUGGUUUAAUUCGAAG
rnacentral:rRNA from 2 species